AUCAUUUUUCUGCAUUUUAGCCAGUUUCGAGCGUAAUAUUUAUUCUAAUCAAUUUGAUAUCUGAUUUAUUUUCUUAACGAGAGUGUUCUAUCAAGCAGAUUUUUUUUUUUUUUUGGAACAAGGAGUUGGGAUAGGGGUUUGCUCUUUCGGCUCCUUGUACUAAUCUGAUGUUGUAGUACCUUUAUAUUUGUUCUAGAAAA